rnacentral:lncRNA from 1 species
AGAGUCAAACUAAGUGGCUCUGUUCUUUUGCCAUCUACAUAUGUAACAGGUGAGUAGCUUUACCUCAGUCCUGUAGCUGAACUGAUUUUUAACUGAUUUUGGUUGUACGAUUAAAUAGGAAUCAAACUUCACUGAAUUUGAAUGUGAAUCCCAGAUGGGCAACUACUAUUAAUGACUGGUAUAAUCUACCUUACUGAAAAUCGAUAAAUCGAAUCGAUAAGCCCCCAAAAUCGAUAAAUCGAAAUCGAAAAAAUCGAAACCUUAUUGAAACGAUAACGAUAAGCAUAU